rnacentral:rRNA from 1 species
UACGUAGGGCCCGAGCGUUGUCCGGAAUUAUUGGGCGUAAAGGGCUCGUAGGCGGUCUGUUGCGUCGGGAGUGAAAACUUACAGCUUAACUGUGAGCGUGCUUCCGAUACGGGCAGACUUGAGGCAUUCAGGGGAGAACGGAAUUCCUGGUGUAGCGGUGAAAUGCGCAGAUAUCAGGAGGAACACCAGUGGCGAAAGCGACUUUCUGGUCCUUAACUGACGCUGAGGCGCGAAAGCAUGGGGAGCGAACGGG